UGGGGAAUAUUGGACAAUGGGCGCAAGCCUGAUCCAGCCAUGCCGCGUGAGUGAUGAAGGCCCUAGGGUUGUAAAGCUCUUUCACCGGUGAAGAUAAUGACGGUAACCGGAGAAGAAGCCCCGGCGAACUUCGUGCCAGCAGCCGCGGUAAUACGAAGGGGGCUAGCGUUGUUCGGAUUUACUGGGCGUAAAGCGCACGUAGGCGGACUUUUAAGUCAGGGGUGAAAUCCCGGGGCUCAACCCCGGAACUGCCUUUGAUACUGGAAGUCUUGAGUAUGGUAGAGGUGAGUGGAAUUCCGAGUGUAGAGGUGAAAUUCGUAGAUAUUCGGAGGAACACCAGUGGCGAAGGCGGCUCACUGGACCAUUACUGACGCUGAGGUGCGAAAGCGUGGGGAGCAAACAGG
rnacentral:rRNA from 1 species